rnacentral:rRNA from 1 species
UGGGGAAUAUUGGGCAAUGGGCGAAAGCCUGACCCAGCAACGCCGCGUGGAGGAAGAAGGUUUUCGGAUCGUAAACUCCUGUCCUCAGGGAAGAGAAGGAGACGGUACCUGAGGAGGAAGCCCCGGCUAACUACGUGCCAGCAGCCGCGGUAAUACGUAGGUGGCAAGCGUUGUCCGGAUUUACUGGGUGUAAAGGGCGUGCAGCCGGGAAUGCAAGUCAGAUGUGAAAUCCAUGGGCUUAACCCAUGAACUGCAUUUGAAACUGUAUUUCUUGAGUACUGGAGAGGCAAUCGGAAUUCCUAGUGUAGCGGUGAAAUGCGUAGAUAUUAGGAGGA